ACCACAAACCUGCCAAUAGCAGAAUCUUUAGAGAAAUGACGCGAAACUCCUGCCUUAAAGCCCUAAAUGGCGGCUUCAAUAUCAGUCCCACUGAGCAUGAAAUUCAUUUACUUAAAUAAAAUCUGAAUCUCAGCCCAAACCUGGGAGAUUCAAAACCUGAGAGCGGUCUUACCAAAGACGCCCGUAUGUCUGGUGAAGUCAGUUGGAUGCAAGCAGUUUGUGCUGGUACCAGGGCCCCAGCUACUGAUGAAGUGGCAGGAGUCCACAGAAGCCUACUUCGAAGUUCCCGGGGCUUCCAGGGGAGAUUGACGAGAUUCCUGGGGAGGCGAUUCAUGACAGCUGAGUUCCUUUUGGAGGAUCCGUCUUCAGGCAGUCUGAUCCCCCAGGAAAGCAGCUGGAAAACAAGAGCAUGUGAAGGAAGCGCAGCAGCUCCUCGCCAGCCAGACAGCCAGCCCCGCACCGCAGGAGUCGACAUGCACGGCAGCCUAGACGCCAUCAGUUAAACUUAUAUGUAGGCUUGUUGAGGAAAACGACUUUCAAACACAAGGCAAAAGAAAAACAUGAAACCAAGGGUUCCAACAUUCAUCAUCCAGUUUCAGAGACACCCUUGAAGGAAUGCUACAGCCUCUUUCUUACCCAUUCAAACCAGUCGCUCUGCUGCAUACCCACAUCACAGGAGGCCCUCAGCCCCGACACACAGGCUCACUCAGCCCGGGGACAUCAGCACCUGUGCCAGCUCCGCAAGGAUAUGAUUCAUAGUCCAGCGUUUGAGUGAGCACUCCAGUCAGAACGAACUCUGCAUUGUGAACAUCUGAACAGGGUGGAAACAGACACUUUAGUUAGAGAUCCACUGCUGUGCGUGCACACAUACUCACACAGGAAAAGAAAAUGAGUUUCUCAGUGACCGAACGCUGAAUGUGAUACAGGGCAAUGACGGACUCGCUGGCGGACUCCACUCUACCCACCGAGUUCUGCUUGUGCUCCAUGAGCUUCCGGAAAGAUGGCUGCUUGGAUAACACCUUUCCUCCUGCACACUCUACGAUUGCCUUCAUAGUGGAAAGACUUGGGCAGAUUCCAGGUGUGAUGUAAAAAUAUUUUGCCUAAAAUUAAAUGAAAAUAUAUGUAUUAUGUUCUUAAAAUGCUUUAAUUUUUAGAGUACAUAAUUCUCAUAGAUUCUGCCCUGAGAUUUUUGACAAAAUUUCAAAUUUUAUGACAUUAUGAAGGUACUAUUCUCCUACUAGCACUCAAUCUGAAGUGGAAGA
ensembl:lncRNA PAXIP1-AS2 PAXIP1 antisense RNA 2